rnacentral:rRNA from 2 species
UGCAUCAUGAUUUACAUUUGAGUGAGUGGCGAACUGGUGAGUAACACGUGGGAAACCUGCCCAGAAGCGGGGGAUAACACCUGGAAACAGAUGCUAAUACCGCAUAACAACUUGGACCGCAUGGUCCGAGUUUGAAAGAUGGCUUCGGCUAUCACUUUUGGAUGGUCCCGCGGCGUAUUAGCUAGAUGGUGGGGUAACGGCUCACCAUGGCAAUGAUACGUAGCCGACCUGAGAGGGUAAUCGGCCACAUUGGGACUGAGACACGGCCCAAACUCCUACGGGAGGCAGCAGUAGGGAAUCUUCCACAAUGGACGAAAGUCUGAUGGAGCAACGCCGCGUGAGUGAAGAAGGGUUUCGGCUCGUAAAACUCUGUUGUUAAAGAAGAACAUAUCUGAGAGUAACUGUUCAGGUAUUGACGGUAU